rnacentral:rRNA from 1 species
CCGACGGGGGGAACUGACUCAACCUUACACAAUAAAUUUUAACUUAGGGUAAAAAUGCCCCAAUAAUUUAGAAAGACGACAAGACCCUAUAAAACUUUACCUCCUAGCUUUUCUUUUAUAUAGUAUUCUCUAUAAAAGCUUAGUGGUUAGCUGGGGCGGCCAACCCCCUCCGGGGGGAAAAAUAACACCUUGUGUGACCCCAAGAACCCCCUUUCGUAGGAAGAUCAAGUUACUUUAGGGAUAACAGCGUAAUUGUUUCUUAGAGCCCCUAUCGAUGAAAUAGUUUACGACCUCGAUGUUGAAUUGGGGAACCUUUUGGGAGCAGCCCCUCAUGAAGGAAGUCUGUUCGACUUUUAAUCCCCCACAUGAU